GACGAACGCUGGCGGCGUGCUUAACACAUGCAAGUCGAACGAAGUGGCGAACGGGUGAGUAACGCGUAAUCAACCUGCCCUUCAGAGGGGGACAACAGUUGGAAACGACUGCUAAUCCCGCAUACUGAAGGUGGGGAUUGCGUCUGAUUAGCUAGUUGGAGGGGUAACGGCCCACCAAGGCGAUGAUCAGUAGCCGGUCUGAGAGGAUGAACGGCCAAAAGGGGACUGAGACACGGCCCAGGCUCCUACGGGAGGCAGCAGGGGGGAAUCUUCCGAAAUGGACGAAAGUCUGACGGAGCAACGCCGCGUGAGUGAUGACGGCCUUCGGGUUGUAAAGCUAUGUUAAUCGGGACGCGGUACCGGAAUAGAAAGCCACGGCUAACUACGUGCCAGCAGCCGCGGUAAUUC
rnacentral:rRNA from 1 species